AGCGAGCCACCCGCGCCGCGUGGAGCGCUUCGCCCAGGUCGCGGCGCAGGGGCCUGGGCAGAGCGGGGAGGUCGGCGGCCAGGGACGUCUCUCAGCUGGCAGUGCCUGGGAGGCUGCUCGGGGCGGGUGUCCGGGUCCUGCGGCGGGCGGCUGGAUGGCGAGCGGAGACGGGAGGCCUGGGCUUGGGCAGCGGUGGCGGUGUCCUGGCCCCGACGGUGACGGAGGGCUUUGAUGAGGCCCGGCGGCCGCGUGCUUGCCAGGAAGGCCCGGGGCUUGAGGCCCUGGAAGGCCUGGCCCGUUCAGGAGUCCCGGCUGUUUGGGGAAUGUCCCACGCCCUGUGGGGAUUUGAGCCGUGUCUCCCGGCCGACUUGGGUGUCCCGGUUGGUGUGUGGUCGGGCCUGGGACGGGCUGGUGCGGGCGGAAACCGCCGGGUAGCGACCACGUCUCGUCAGGGGGUUCGUGCCUGCUGCUGGGCACGGGAACGGCUCCGGGGGGGUCUUACGGGCGCUGAGGGGAUUCCGCAUCAUGGAGAGGUCAAGGGGAGUUGGUGGCCGUCACCCUUCGUCAGGGCAGGGUGGCAUCAGUGCUCCCGUGCUGGGGUUCCUGGAGAGCCGGCUGGCACGGACAGACUCUUGUGAGGGCAAGUGGCUGAUCGUGCGUCGGAUGGGUCCAGCAAAGGAGAGAAAGCUUCGGUGCGCGCGCGCUCGCCAGGGAAAGGGUGACAGCGGGUGGGACCGAGAGGGAGAGAGAGAGAGGGAGAGAACAAAGGAAGAGAGAGGGUUUCCGCAGGGGCGGUGAGUCCUGGCGGAAGUCCUGAGGCAGAGGAGGUGCCAGGGGUUUGGGUUUCCCGGUCGUGUCGGGGGUGUGGCGCAGGUUGCCCCAGUGGGCCUGAAUGUGCCUCCGUGGGGCACCUUGUUGCCGUGUUGGGGGGCGGGGAGCCGGCCUUGGGGAUCCAUCUUUCGGGCCCUGGGACGUGGGAGAAGAAUGCCGGGGCCUCUCUCUGUGCCCCUGGCACGCCUCUGUGCAGGCCGGGCCUGCACCACCCCCCGCGCCCGUCCCCCAGGCAGGGUCCGUGUGGCUGCAGACACCCAGAGAGGGGAGGCUGGGGAGGCUGGGGAGCCGUGGCAGCCCGAUGCAGUGCGGGUCUCCAGGUGGAGGGGCCCUGGUCCCCUGGCGCCAGCGUGGCCCUUCCUCCUUGUGGAAACCCUUGUGGUGUGUGUGCUCUCUCGCCCUGACCCAGGAGAGCAGCAUGGCGGACCCCUGAUCUUGUGGCGUGCCACCGCGCGAGGCCGAGGAGCUCCCGCAGCCCAGUGGGCGUGGCGUCCUUGUCGCGGCUCUGUGGAGACCUGGCGAUGGAGAGCAGCAUGGCGGACCCCUGAUCUUGUGGCGUGCCACCGCGCGAGGCCGAGGAGCUCCCGCAGCCCAGUGGGCGUGGCGUCCUUGUCGCGGCUCUGUGGAGACCUGGCGAUGGAGAGCAGCAUGGCGGACCCCUGAUCUUGUGGCGUGCCACCGCGCGAGGCCGAGGAGCUCCCGCAGCCCAGUGGGCGUGGCGUCCUUGUCGCGGCUCUGUGGAGACCUGGCGAUGGUGAGCGGCCCCUGUCCUCAGUGGUGGAGAACUCGCCCUUGGGGCGCUCGUCUGUCCGGAGCCCCGGGCCAGCCCCGCUUCUCGCGGGCUUUGGCCCCGGCAGGCCAGCUCCGGGGGCGUGAGGGGGAGCGUCCCGUCCUGCCCAGUGGCUCGUCUGUCUGGGCACGCCCCCAAACGCUGCCGUGAUGGAGCGGGUGGGAUGUCCAGGUGCGGAGGCCGUGAAUUUGCCUUGCGGCGGCGGAGCCCGUGCUCGGAUCGAUGAUGACUCCCUCUAAAGCAUUCCUUGGAAAUCUGAACAAAAUGAGUGAGAACUCACUACCGUCUCCUCAUCGAAACUGAGGUCCGGCACGUGGCGGCCACCGGGGGCUCGGGGGUAGAUGGGCCCUUGGCCUUGGGGCCUCUGUGUGUCAGCAGCCACUCGGGUGAGGUCUGGGGAAGGCGGCCGCCUGCCGGGCCCAGGAAGCAUGGGGCCCGUCGCCCGGCGCUGGCCUCGGGGGCGAGGCCGCGUGCCCGAGCGUGCUGGAGAUCCCGGGCGGCCUCCCGCCGGCCUUGGGGGGUUUCGCAAGCCGUCGCGGGGGCCGAAAUUUGGGCCCGGCCCGCGAGGCAAGUGUGCGGCCCUAGGGCCCCAGGGGGCGUCCUGGCCCAGGCCGGGCGCCCUUCUCAGGAUGCUGUGGGGAGACGGGAUCCCGGCAGGGUAGUGUUCUCUUUCUGCUCUGGGGACCCCUGAGGGCCACCUGCUGCAGGGGGUCUGUGGUAGCGGGGGCCCUUGGAUCAGGGCCGUCCCCCAUGGGGGGGGGGAGCCUGGGAACCCCUGAGGGCGCUCCCCUGGGACGUCCAGGGAUGUUGGGGCGGAGGCUGGGGCUGGGUGGCGAGAAGGGGGCAGCUGAAGUGGUGAGCGACAGGCGGGCA
rnacentral:lncRNA from 1 species